rnacentral:rRNA from 1 species
GAGUUUGAUCAUGGCUCAGAUUGAACGCUGGCGGCAUGCCUUACACAUGCAAGUCGAACGGCAGCACGGGAGCUUGCUCCUGGUGGCGAGUGGCGAACCGGGUGAGUAAUGCAUCGGAACGUAUCCUGGAGUGGGGGAUAACGUAGCGAAAGUUACGCUAAUACCGCAUAUUCUGUGAGCAGGAAAGCGGGGGACCUUCGGGCCUCGCGCUCUUGGAGCGGCCGAUGUCGGAUUAGCUAGUUGGUGAGGUAAAGGCUCACCAAGGCGACGAUCCGUAGCAGGUCUGAGAGGAUGAUCUGCCACACUGGAACUGAGACACGGUCCAGACUCCUACGGGAGGCAGCAGUGGGAAUUUUGGACAAUGGGGGCAACCCUGAUCCAGCCAUGCCGCGUGAGUGAAGAAGGCCUCGG